UUUACAAAAUUCCCAUUAUGGGGGCCGGAACACCUUAAAAACGUCCACAACAGGGAAAUUUAACGAAAAUCAGACAUUCUUGUUUGAGAAGAUACAAAAUGCCACUCAAAAUUUGCAAAACAGGGCCGAAGUCGCUAAAAAAUUUAACAAAGUCUCGUUAUACCACCAUAGAUACUCCUGCAAUUUUUAUUAAGGCAAUUGUUCCAGGAUGUUGUCGAGUCAGUUUGAUGCUGCAAAACUAUGAGAGAUAUUGACCAUAAAUUCAGGGGGUGGAACCGGCUUAAACUUAAUUAUGCAGCUGCCCUUUUACAAGUCCUACUAGGUUCAAGUUAUUCUUAUUUAUUUAGCCUGUAGAGAAACCGAAUGCAGUUGUGUACUAAAAAAAUUGGUUGUACCUUGUUGGUGGAUUUCAAUGGGCUGCUUAUGAAAUUAUGGAUAGUCAGAGGCGGUUUGUCAUCAUAAAAUUAAAUGUAAUUGAUGGCCAAAUAACCCAGUAGAGGACCUUAGUGGGUGAUUUACUCCCAUCUUGUCGUGUCUGAAAAUAGACUUGUUGAAGAAUGAAUUGAAUAAAUUAUAGGAUUACAUUGUCAGAUGGUGGUGGACAUUAAGGGCUUGUCAUUUUAGAGAUUCAGGGGUCUGUGACUGGCGAUUUUGUUGCUACAACGUUCAAAAUAUCAGGAAAAUUAACUUUUCAAACAACAAGAAAACCUGGAAAAAACUGCUGUGAUCAACUUGGCUGUGUAAGAAACUUCAUAGUGAGGGGGCUGCCAUCCUAGAAAAACCAAAAUACUUUCUGGAAUAAAAAUAAAAGCUUGAAAUGAAAUAAAUCGCAAUUUUUUUAUUUAUA